UCUUCAUUUCACGUGCUCUUUCACCGGUCAGAGAGGCGAGAGAGUGUGCGAAAGGUAGAGA
rnacentral:pre_miRNA from 1 species